rnacentral:snRNA from 1 species
UUAUGUUAAGAUGUUUGUUUGAUC